GCAACUUUGAGGGAGAUUGACAAUCUUGAGAGGAGUCUACUGCUCACUGAGCAGAGUUUAGUGGGGACAGGUAGUGGAGAGGGAGGAGAUAAGACAGAUGGGGAACAGGCAUGUAGCUGGGUGACAGUGGGGCGAGGAAGCAGGGGGGGGAGGGAAGAGGAAAGGGCUAGCUAGUCCUGAUUUGGUGCAACCUAGCAGAUUUGCCCGUUUGAGGGAAGAUGUUGG